CACAAACGUUCCUGUAAUUGACGCUUUGAACGCAAUACUGGAAGCUUCUGACUCGGACAUCAUUCUGCACUUUAAAGAAACAAAUGUUCAGGGUGUCACCACGGCACAGAUCAGGGCACCGCGGGGCACUGGACUGUUUCGAGUGGCAGUAGAUGGCCGUAACCUAAAUAUGACGCAUCCCUUGAUGGCUCAGACCAUAGCUCAGGCACGCCAGGUCCGUCGUAUAUCACACAAUGUGAUGGUGCUGGUCACGAGCGAUGAUCCAGCUUUCCUGUCCCUCUUCGCGCACUGGUCACUGAAGGGCCGCCUACUGGUGUGGGCAACCAAGCUUCUUGUCUUUACUCGCGUACCACUCUAUAACGUGCGUCUGUUGCACAAAGCCUUGUCACAGACAAACUCUUUACUACUUACGCAAGGAACAACCAGCCAAAGGUACUCACUAGAAAUUAACUCCCGUAGGCUGCCUAAG